CACUGACAUUAGAUACCCGGGUAGUCCCAGCCGUAAACAAUGUGCGUUAGGUGUGUCGGUAACCACGCGUUACUGAUGCGCCGAAGAGAAAUCGUGAAACGCACCACCUGGGGAGUACGGUCGCAAGGCUGAAACUUAAAGGAAUUGGCGGGGAGCACCACAACAGGUGGAGCCUGCGGUUUAAUUGGAUUCAACGCCGGACAUCUCACCGGAUAAGACAGCUGAAUGAUUGUCAAUCUGAAGGUUUUACAUGACUAGCUG
rnacentral:rRNA from 1 species